rnacentral:rRNA from 1 species
CCUACGGGAGGCUUCAGUGGGGAAUAUUGGACAAUGGGGGGAACCCUGAUCCAGCCAUGCCGCGUGUGUGAAGAAGGCCCUCGGGUUGUAAAGCACUUUCAGUGAGGAAGAACGCCUGGUGGUUAAUACCCAUCAGGAAAGACAUCACUCACAGAAGAAGCACCGGCUAACUCCGUGCCAGCAGCCGCGGUAAUACGGAGGGUGCGAGCGUUAAUCGGAAUUACUGGGCGUAAAGCGCGCGUAGGUGGCUUGAUAAGCCGGUUGUGAAAGCCCCGGGCUCAACCUGGGAACGGCAUCCGGAACUGUCAAGCUAGAGUGCAGGAGAGGAAGGUAGAAUUCCCGGUGUAGCGGUGAAAUGCGUAGAGAUCGGGAGGAAUACCAGUGGCGAAGGCGGCCUUCUGGACUGACACUGACACUGAGGUGCGAAAGCGUGGGUAGCAAACAGGAUUAGAUACCCCUGUAGUC